AACGAACGCUGGCGGCAUGCCUAACACAUGCAAGUCGAACGAGACCUCGGGGCUAGUGGCGCACGGGUGCGUAACGCGGGGGAACCUGCCCUUAGGUUCGGAAUAACUCCCCGAAAGGGGUGCUAAUACCGGAUAAUGUCUUCGGACCAAAGAUUUAUCGCCUUUGGAUGGGCCCGCGUUGGAUUAGCUAGUUGGUAGGGUAAAAGCCUACCAAGGCGACGAUCCAUAGCUGGUCUGAGAGGAUGAUCAGCCACACUGGGACUGAGACACGGCCCAGACUCCUACGGGAGGCAGCAGUGGGGAAUAUUGGACAAUGGGCGAAAGCCUGAUCCAGCAAUGCCGCGUGAGUGAUGAAGGCCUUAGGGUUGUAAAGCUCUUUUACCCGGGAUGAUAAUGACAGUACCGGGAGAAUAAGCUCCGGCUAACUCCGUG
rnacentral:rRNA from 1 species